CUCCAUCCACUUUGAGCUGGAAAACCUUAUUGAGAGCAACAGGAACAACCCGAGAGCCGUUUCGCAUAGAGGGGUCCAUUGAUUCCAUCUGCUGACGAAGUGCUUCAGCAUCAGCUUCACUAAAACAAAACAACCCCAAACUUUUCCCAGUACUAACACCCGAAACCAACACAAAUUCUUGAGAGGCAUUGCUAAGGGCAUACACAGGUACUCCACCCAAACGCUCUUCGAUUGUUUCAGUAGAUAAAGAUUGUUUUUUUACACCAAUUUUAGCCCAUAGAGGUGAAUUUUGAGGGGUGUUGAGUUGGGGAAUAGUGGUUUGAAGGAAAUUGGUGAAUUGGGUCUGCAGAUUCUUGAAGGAUUGUUGGAGCUGUAGGUGUGGUGGUGUUGCUGGAGAAGAUGAUGAUUGUUUCCAUUUGAAGAAAUUCAUGUUUGGGAGCAAUUACUGAGGAAAUGGGUAAAAGGGUUCUCAAUUUCUAUCUCAGGAGUUGCAGCGCCAGAUUAUCUUCCUAGAAAUAUAAGAUGCCGAGAACAAGGGCCAGUGCUGCAGCUAUUAAAUCUGAACCCGAGAAACCUGUUGAGACUGAAGAGCAUGUUGACUUUGAAGGUGAUAAUGAAGAAGAGGAAGAGAUUGAGUAUGAAGAGGUAGAAGAAGAGGUGGAAAUGGAAGAGGAAG
rnacentral:misc_RNA from 1 species